AUAUUGGUCAAUGGACGCAAGUCUGAACCAGCCAUGCCGCGUGGAGGAUGAAGGCCUUCUGGGUUGUAAACUUCUUUUAUUGGGGAAGAAAAGCACGGUUUCUACUGUGUCCGACGGUACCCAAGGAAUAAGCACCGGCUAACUCCGUGCCAGCAGCCGCGGUAAGACGGAGGGGGCUAGCGUUGUUCGGAAUUACUGGGCGUAAAGCGCACGUAGGCGGCCUUUCAAGUCAGAUGUGAAAGCCCCGGGCUUAACCCGGGAAUAGCAUUUGAUACUGUUGGGCUUGAGGCCGGGAGAGGAUAGCGGAAUUCCCAGUGUAGAGGUGAAAUUCGUAGAUAUUGGGAAGAACACCAGUGGCGAAGGCGGCUAUCUGGACCGGUACUGACGCUGAGGUGCGAAAGCGUGGGGAGCAAACAGG
rnacentral:rRNA from 1 species